AAUCUCCCGCCACGAAUGACGAAAUGCAGACGAAACGGAAAUAGCAGACGGCGCGGCCGUCUUCUCGCUCACGUUGCGGAACUAUCAUGGCGCCUUCCCGAUAAUGUGAUACGAGAGCAAUGCGUUGAAAAGUUCCGGGCGAUUUCACAGGAUCGCGACCAAGUUCCAAAAUUGAAAAGCUGCAAGAUGCCGGUGGUACCUGGAGGAGCUUACCAGCAAGGACCGACUUGCUUUGAUAGAAUGAAAUUGGGCUUCACAAUCGGAUUUUGCGUGGGAAUGGCCUCUGGUGCGCUCUUCGGAGGAUUUUCCGCCCUUAGGUACGGACUGAGAGGAAGGGAAUUAUUAAACAGCGUUGGCAAGGUGAUGCUUCAAGGCGGUGGCACAUUCGGCACGUUCAUGGCCAUCGGAACAGGGAUACGAUGCUAGCGCAUGGGCGGAGCUACGUCACGGAGUAUCUCGCAGCCUAUCUUUUUCGUUGCAACCGUUGUACAAUUGAGAGAAUUCUACAAGGUUAAUCGCUCGCCGGUGUCGCGUCACCUCGCACCGGAUUAACGCUAAUUGGCGCGGCUGAACGUAAACGACUCGUCGACGGUCCUCGUGGGCGAUUCUCCGGGUCUCGCUCGCGCCGGCGACGGACG